GUUGAACGCUGGCGGCAGGCCUAACACAUGCAAGUCGAGCGGAUGACGGGAGCUUGCUCCUUGAUUCAGCGGCGGACGGGUGAGUAAUGCCUAGGAAUCUGCCUGGUAGUGGGGGACAACGUUUCGAAAGGAACGCUAAUACCGCAUACGUCCUACGGGAGAAAGCAGGGGACCUUCGGGCCUUGCGCUAUCAGAUGAGCCUAGGUCGGAUUAGCUAGUAGGUGAGGUAAUGGCUCACCUAGGCGACGAUCCGUAACUGGUCUGAGAGGAUGAUCAGUCACACUGGAACUGAGACACGGUCCAGACUCCUACGGGAGGCAGCAGUGGGGAAUAUUGGACAAUGGGCGAAAGCCUGAUCCAGCCAUGCCGCGUGUGUGAAGAAGGUCUUCGGAUUGUAAAGCACUUUAAGCUGGGAGGAAGGGCAGUAAGUUAAUACCUUGCUGUUUUGACGUUACCGACAGAAUAAGCACCGGCUAACUCUGUGCCAGCCGCCGCAGUAAUAC
rnacentral:rRNA from 1 species